rnacentral:lncRNA from 1 species
GUGGGAUGGCCAGUCAAUGGGGAAAGGAUAGACCCUGGGCAAUUAGAAUAGAAUAGGGCAAUUUCACUGGCCUACAUGUGCAUUCCACAUCAUUGCACACUUGUCAGAUUAGCAAUCAUGAAAAACACCACUGCAUGUUGUCAAGGUGCAGAGCAGGGAUGAAUUUCCUAUGCCAGGAGUGGAAGCUAGCGCUAACACUUUGUGUGUGUGUGUGUGUUUAGAUGUAGAGUCUCACUAUGUCGCCCAGGCUGGAGUGCAGUGGUGCGAUCUUGGCUCACUGCAGCCUCUAACUCCUGGGCUCAAGUGAUCUUCUCACCUCAACUUCCCAAGUAGCUGGGACCACAGGCAAGCAUCAACAUUCCCAGCUAAUUAUUUCCAUUUUUUUUUUUUUUUUUUUUUUUUUUUUUGUAGAGAUGUGGUCUCACUGUAGUCUCAAAUGCCUGGGCUCAAGUGAUGCUCCUGCCUUGGCCUCCCAAAGUGCUGAGAUUACACGGGUGACCCACUGCACUUGAACCACUUUGGAUAAUACUGGUAGUACCGCCACAAAGAAAAUUCUAGAGAGUUUGGGGAAAACAAAACAUAAACUUUUAAAAGAAAAUAAAGGAGAAUAUGUCUAUGUCCUAGGAAUAGAUACGUUUUCUUAAACAAGAGAAUAAAAGCAAAAACCAUAGAGAUGUCUUCAUUAAUAUCAUUGCCCCUACUAUAAGCAGUGGCCAGUUAAUCUCCCACACCCAUGCCUUCCACCUGCUGUGCACUCAACCAGAAGCAAAAGCUUUAGUGACUAUGAUGCCAGAGUGUCAGGAUUAUUAUCCCCUACUUACCAAGAGCAAAAGGGUCCCUACUGCUUUCAGAGAGGUGGCAAUCUGACUGCAAACUCCUAGCUGAGAAGCUGUUUUAUAAGCUUCUUGCACAAAUUGUCUUAUCUGGGCUUCAAAGAUAACAAAGUCUGAGGCAAAGCAUAUGUGCUAAUAUUUUAUUGUGGAAUGAAACAUCGAGGCAGCAGGAAUAAGGGAAAAUAGACAUUGAGGCAGGUAGGGCUGGAAAGCAAAUACCAGGUGGUACGUUAUAGAGUUGACCUCAGCUUAAGGUUUCUCUCUCAAGGUUUCUAGUCAGGCUAAACAAAACUACCAUUUUUCAGAAUACAUCAUCCAGGGAAAGGGAAAGGACACUGCUGCUAGCUCCCUCCCAUCUCUCACUGAUCCAAGCUGGUACCCUGGGACACAAAUUCUGCUUUACCUGAGAGUGGUGUCACGCAGCCCUUCUGGUUGACUGUUGGGGAAGCCAAAUCCUGCACACCAUGGUGUGUACUUCAUUUGAAUCUAAGUUUGGUGGGUAGGGCCCAAACUCUCAAUGACUUAAUUGGAUUGGGACUGGUGGCUGAAGUUUCUGCCAAGGUGGAUGUGAAGGAGACAAUGGUAGUGGCAGCCAGGAUGUUCCAAUGAGCAAGUGCUCAAAGGCCCAGGAGUUGAUGGUGCCCAGUGAUGCUGGGAAUCUGGUUCACUACCUCAUGCUAACUCUGCCUAGAAUCACACAAUGUUUAUCUAACAUCCAAUCCUCCUACCAACCAUGUAGGAGUAGCACUAUCCACCUCUUACAGAAAAGAAAACUGAGGCUUUGUACAACAUACCUUGCACGUAGUAGAAUGAGUAUUUGAACCUAGUAAAAAGUGCAACGUUUGUACUCUUUCUCCUAGCCAAUGUACAUCUCCUAUUCCAAAAAUUCUAAGCAAAAGAUGGCAAUACCUAUGAUAAAAGAAAUUUUGGGGUUGGUGGGAAGACAUGGUGGUAGUGGUCACUGUGUGUUGAUCGGACUUCAGAAUAACAAAGGAAGAGUUUCCUUUUUACUUAUUACUAUGAUGCACCAUUUAGACAUAUUAGUUAUAGAGAACACAAAACAACAUACUUUGACACAACAAAUGAACUGCAUUAAAUGGAAUGUGUUAUAACCCAGGCUUGGGCUGACAACAUAAAAACCUCUUGAUGAAACUAUCCCCAAG